UACGGAGGGAGCUAGCGUUGUUCGGAAUUACUGGGCGUAAAGCGCGCGUAGGCGGCUUUGUAAGUUAGAGGUGAAAGCCCGGGGCUCAACCCCGGAACUGCCUUUAAGACUGCAUCGCUUGAAUCCAGGAGAGGUGAGUGGAAUUCCGAGUGUAGAGGUGAAAUUCGUAGAUAUUCGGAAGAACACCAGUGGCGAAGGCGGCUCACUGGACUGGUAUUGACGCUGAUGGUGCGAAAAGCGUGGGGAGCAAACAGG
rnacentral:rRNA from 1 species